CUUUCGGCUUGACAUUGUCUGAAGAUUUAAUAGGUACAGAUGCACAGCAUGAAGACAGCCAUGAUGGACCUGCCAAGGAUGCCUGACUAUUAAAGGUGAAAAGUAACAGAGCCUAGGCAGAAGCUGAAAGCAGAAGGAGUAGAGCUAAAGUAGAAGAUGCCAAGAAAAAAGCAUCAUCAAAACUUUUCGUAACUGAUCUUUCUACUGAAUUCUGCUCCUUGGCUGAAUAUUGCUGAAUAG